GAGGUGGCAGUGCCAGCAGCCGGGCAAACAGGACGAACUUCCAGGGACCCUCGAGGUGCCGGACGCUCAGGAGAGACCCCAGACGGCCAGGGUCCCGGCUGAGGGCCCGGAUCCUGCUCCCAGGCGGCAUUUGGCCAAAUCGGGGGCCCUCUUGCAAGAGACGAAUCUGGGAUCAGAACCUGAGUGUGAGGAAUGGGCUCUUAAUCACCAUCGCGUUGGAAUCCACAUCAGAACCCCAGGCUCUGGGACGGCCCCAGGCUGCCCAAAAGAUCCAAAUAUAUCACCACCCUCAGGUGUCCAGAACUCUUGGACCUGCACCUCCCAGGAAAUCCACCAGAUGGUCGCGUGGCCCAGGAACAAGCCCUUGAACCUGACGAUUCCAUUUCUUAGGCAAGGCCCUCGGACUCCUCUUCCCGUGUAACAUCCGCACAGAGGGGCGCGCACGCAGCGAGGGGUGUCUCAGGAGCCGAGCACUCAGGUGUCUGGAUGGAGAACGCGUCUCUCAGCGACGAGUACGACUACAGCCACUAUGGCGAGGAGGUUUCGGAUUUCCCCGUGGACUGCGCCGACGGCACCUGCGUCGCCCUCGGGCCCCUCCGCGUGGCCCCUCUCCUGCUGUACGCGCUGGUCUUCCUGGUGGGGGUGCCGGGCAACGCCAUGG